rnacentral:rRNA from 1 species
UACGUAGGUCCCGAGCGUUGUCCGGAUUUAUUGGGCGUAAAGCGAGCGCAGGCGGCUCUGUAAGUCUGAAGUUAAAGGCAUUGGCUCAACCAAUGUUCGCUUUGGAAACUGCAGGGCUUGAGUGCAGAAGGGGAGAGUGGAAUUCCAUGUGUAGCGGUGAAAUGCGUAGAUAUAUGGAGGAACACCGGUGGCGAAAGCGGCUCUCUGGUCUGUAACUGACGCUGAGGCUCGAAAGCGUGGGGAGCAAACAGG